AAAACGACUCUCGGCAACGGAUAUCUAGGCUCUCGCAUCGAUGAAGAACGUAGCAAAAUGCGAUACUUGGUGUGAAUUGCAGAAUCCCGCGAAUCAUCGAGUUUUUGAACGCAAGUUGCGCCCGAAGCCAUUUGGCCGAGGGCACGUCUGCCUGGGUGUCACGC
rnacentral:rRNA from 1 species